rnacentral:rRNA from 1 species
UACGAAGGGGGCUAGCGUUGCUCGGAAUUACUGGGCGUAAAGGGUGCGUAGGCGGGUCUUUAAGUCAGAGGUGAAAUCCUGGAGCUCAACUCCAGAACUGCCUUUGAUACUGAGGAUCUUGAGUUCGGGAGAGGUGAGUGGAACUGCGAGUGUAGAGGUGAAAUUCGUAGAUAUUCGCAAGAACACCAGUGGCGAAGGCGGCUCACUGGCCCGAUACUGACGCUGAGGUGCGAAAGCG